UGAAGUUUGUUUUAGGAUUUUAUGUUUAUGAAUUGCUUUAUGUUUUUUAUUUCAAGAUCGUUUAGGGUUUCAGUGGCUUCUGUUUCGAACUAUGAAUUUUAAUUAGUAGAAUAGGUGUUGGGGAACCCUAAGUGAAGCAGCAGGGAAAAACAAAUAAAGUAAAAGAAAAUUGACUACGAUAAACUAUAGCACACCAUGCUUGUGUUAUUUUUAGUAUCAGUUUCCAAUAUAUAUCAUUGAACCUUCUACGUAAACCUGCAUGAAGAUCAAAACGAAAUAAGCAAUAAGACUCUGAGAAAUGCAUAGGAAGCAAUUUAUAGCUAUAUAUGAUACUUACUUUGAACUACAGAAAAUAAGAAAACGCAUACCUUUUGAAAAUCAUCUAUUCUUGGGAUAAAAUAUGCCCUUUGUAGUUGGUGGCUUCUGACCACCGGAGCUUGAUGAAGAAGUUGAGCCAGUGCCCUUAGGUGGGGGUUUUGUAGGGCAAAUGGCAUUCUGAAUAUUGGUGUUACUGGAACUCAUUUUCCUAAGACAAACAAAAAUUCAAGCUUCUUAAGUAAUGGCUCCUUUUGUGUAAUUUUUGGC
rnacentral:lncRNA from 1 species